rnacentral:rRNA from 1 species
AUUGAACGCUGGCGGCAGGCCUAACACAUGCAAGUCGAGCGGCAGCGGGAAAGUAGCUUGCUACUUUUGCCGGCGAGCGGCGGACGGGUGAGUAAUGCCUGGGAAAUUGCCCAGUCGAGGGGGAUAACAGUUGGAAACGACUGCUAAUACCGCAAACGCCCUACGGGGGAAAGCAGGGGACCUUCGGGCCUUGCGCGAUUGGAUAUGCCCAGGUGGGAUUAGCUAGUUGGUGAGGUAAUGGCUCACCAAGGCGACGAUCCCUAGCUGGUCUGGGAGGAUGAUCGGCCACACUGGAACGGAGACACGGUCCGGACUCCUACGGGAGGCAGCAGUGGGGAAUAUGGCACAAUGGGGGAAACCCUGAUGCAGCCAUGCCGCGUGUGUGAAGAAGGCCUUCGGGUUGUAAAGCACUUUCAGCGAGGAGGAAAGGUUGAUGCCUAAUACGUAUCAACUGUGACGUUACUCGCAGAAGAAGCACCGGCUAACUCCGUGCCAGCCGCCGCCGUAAUAC